AAAAAUUUACCGGGCGUGGUGGCGGGCACCUGUAAUCCCAGCUACUCUGGAAGCUGAAACAGGAGAAUCGCUUGAAGCCGGGACGGGGGAGGGUGCAGUGAGCCGAGAACGCGCCACUGCACUCCAGCCUGGGUGACAAGAGCAAAACUCCGUCUCAAAAAAGAAAAAAAAGAGAGAAAAGAAAAAAAGUCAUAUGUACAUUAUAAAUACAUACAUCUACCAUGUGCCUACAAAAAUUGAAAACAAAACAAAACAAUCCACGAUUAUAAGCUUUUAUAUUAAGGGAGAACCUCUGACCAGAAAGAGCCGACAGGAGGCGAUCCUGGACGUAAAUUGCGAGACGCGGAGGAUUGUGGGACUUGUAGUUUUUCUAACAUCACUUAAGCUUUCUGGACUACAUGUCCCAAAAUGCAAGUGCAAUCAAACAAUCCCACCGUGGGUUGUGAAGUGGUCCUGGAACCGUGAGAGAAUGAAGAUGAGCUUUGGGUUGACUUUCAGGUCAGCAAAAGGCCGUGGGAUUGCAAACCCCAGCCGGCAGUGCUCAAAAGGUUCCACUGAGUUAUUUGUGCCAGCAAGUCCUCCUUUGGACCCUGAGAAGGUCAAAGAGUUACAGCGCUUCAUCACCCUUUCCAAGAGACUCCUCGUGAUGACUGGGGCAGGAAUCUCCACCGAAUCAGGAAUACCAGACUACAGGUCAGAAAACGUGGGGCUUUAUGCCCGCACUGACCGCAGGCCCAUCCAACAUAGCGAUUUUGUCCGGAGUGCCCCAAUCCGCCAGCGGUACUGGGCAAGAAGCUUCGUGGGCUGGCCUCGAUUCUCCUCCCACCAGCCUAACCCUGCACACUGGGCUUUGAGCACCUGGGAGAAACUCGGAAAGCUGUACUGGUUGGUGACCCAAAAUGUGGAUGCUCUGCACACCAAGGCGGGGAGUCGGCGCUUAACAGAGCUCCACGGAUGCAUGCACAGGCUGGAGUACAAUGGCAGGAUCUCGGCUCACUGCAACAUCUGCCUCCCGGGUUCAAGGGAUUCUCCUGCCUCAGCCUCCCGAGUAGCUGGGAUUAUAGGCAUGUGCCACCACACCAGGGUCCUGUGCUUGGAUUGCGGGGAGCAGACUCCCCGGGGGUUGCUGCAGGAGCGCUUCCAAGUCCUAAACCCCACCUGGAGUGCGGAGGCCCAUGGCCUGGCUCCUGAUGGUGACGCCUUUCUCUCAGAGGAGCAAGUCCAGAACUUUCAGGUCCCAUCCUGCGUUCAAUGUGGAGGCCGUCUGAAACCAGACGUCGUCUUCUUCGGAGACACAGUGAACCCUGACAAAGUUGAUUUUGUGCACAAGCGUGUAAAAGAAGCUGACUCCCUCUUGGUGGUGGGAUCAUCCUUGCAGGUGUACUCUGGUUACAGGUUUAUCCUCACUGCCCAGGAGAAGAAGCUGCCAAUUGCAAUACUGAACAUUGGGCCCACACGGUCAGAUGACUUGGCAUGUCUGAAACUGAAUUCUCGUUGUGGAGAGUUGCUGCCUUUGAUAGACCCACGCUGACUACAGCCUGAUGUUCCAGAACGUGGAACAGGGACUUGGACUUGAAUCUUGCUGCGAAAGAUGAAGACUGAAGCUUGGAGACUUUGUGUAAUCUGCCCAAGGUCAGCAAGAACGUGACUAGACCAGGAAUGAAGGCCAGUCUGUCAAGUUGUGAGCUCGCUCUUGGACUUUGUGCUGUAGAAACCUGCUGGGGUAACAACAGCUGUACCUGGGGAAGAACAAAGCUCAGGAAACUUCCAAAAGUGACCCAGGCUGGGUUCUGAAAGACAAACAUGCCUUCACCAGGUAGGAAAAGGGAGGAGGCAACUCAUGCAAAAGCACGGAGGUUAGACCAGCAAAUCUCUUCGGGUUUUUUACCCCUUCAACGUUUGGGUGAAAAUUUGAGUGUAGAUGUGGGGCGCCUCAGGGGCCUGUAGCUCGCCCAACACCCCCUCACCUCUCUGCUUGGGCAUCUCUCCUCCCAGCUCCCCUUCGUUCCCUGCACCCCACUUUCCCUACCCGCUAAUCCGUCCCUGGGAUAAAAUCAAAGAAGGCAAUGCCCACAGGAAACAGGCAUGAGGGAGCUGGGGAACAGGGAAAAGUGACUUCGAGAGUAACAUCCACGUGGGUUCGCCCUCUUUUUUCACUCUAACGCUCACUUUGUCCUUCCUCCUGGAUUCUGGCUCAGGAGAAGAGCGCCGCCAGGACCCCACGAAGCCGCAGACAGGAGCUGCGGCCGCCACCACCUCUAGCAGACGCAGUCUGGUGCGCUCAUUACCAGUCACUGCGCCUGCGCAGACUCGCGUUUCUUUUGCGCGCGAGAAGGGCGGAGCUUGAGAGGGGUGGACCGGGCAGUAGACCAGGGGGCUGGGCCACUAGUCACCAAUAGAAAAGAGAGAUCGAGAGCCACGUGCCCAUAAGAUAACCAAUUACAAUCAAAUCCUCUGGCCAGGGAUGGGGGGCGGUGGACUAGAGUUUGACUGGGUUGGGCACGUAGCAUCACGUGACAUGAAAAGGUAAAUACAGCCACGUGGCUUUUUCUUCUUGGCUUUGGCGAACCAUUACGUCACACUCUACCUUCCCCGAACAAUUAUUUAAUGAACAUAUGUGAUGCACUAGACACUGAAGAUACCGUGGUUGCUAGAAUUUGUAAUCUCUCUGUCAAAUUACUCUGUCCCGCUUAUUUCCUUGUUUCUUCAUUCAAAUCAUCCUAGCCCUUCAACUGAUUUCUCGUG